rnacentral:lncRNA from 1 species
GGUCAGGGCGUGGUGCCCAGGUUGUGGCCAUUGGUGGCCUUGAUCUUUCAGGCUCUUGUGGGCCUAACCUUGCGCGCAUCGAAUUUGACAACUGGGAUUUUUUAUCACGUUGUCUUUUCGCUGAAAAGUGAGUAGAGUCUGAGCUUUCCUCACGGGGAAUUCGAGGCAUAGGCGUGCGUGGCUCAUGAGGCCUCACGUUGUAUGCUCCUGGAAUAGCUCCCGUUGUCCCAGGAUAUAUUGAUUCCGGUUCUUGUUGAGGCCUUGAGUUUGCUACUUGGCCUCUUGAACGCUGACGUCGAGGAGGCCUUGAUGUUGAAGUCUGGAUGCGUAAUACAGCGUUUUCUUCUCUCAGUCUUUCUGUCUCCUGGAGGAGAGCUUUUAGUUGUCGUUCGCUUGCCAACUGCCUUCUUUCAAUGGUUUGACGCCAUUCAAAAUCAUCCUCCUCUCUCCUACCAGAUGAACGGCUUUGGGAAGAUGUAGCCAUCUUUUUUAGUGACUGAAUCAAAGUAAAAUUUUCCCACAGACGGCGCCAAUGUUGAUACCUUGCACUCCUGGGAUUCCACGUAGCUGCCAAAUGGAUGGAGACGCGAUCUCAACACACAAAGGUUCUUGAUUCAGUCGUUAUAUCUGCAAAAAGGCAUCCGAACAGGGUGUCCGGACGCACCCUCCGAUGGUAUUGUUAGCCAUGGUUAGAGAGGGAGAUAUAAAUCAGUUGGCCUUUUACUAGGUAUCUGGAGAUUACCUUCCUCUUCGUGUGAAGGUAUAUAUAUAGUGUCAGGAGUACUGUUCCUCUCAUUAAUGGUGAGGAGAUAUUUUAUGUUUUGUCAUGAUGACAUUCGGAGGCAGCAUGGUCAUCGCCACCCUACUGGCGGCUGUCAGAAACCGUGGUAGGUGAUGCUGCUGUCAAAGAUCGUGGGAAGUGAUCAUGUAGAAUGAUCGUGGGAAGUGACUUGUUGUCACCUCAACCCGUCCUUUCACUCUGCAGGUGAUGGGACGUGGGUCAUGGCUGGUUGUCGUGAUAGCGUGUAAGACUUGCUAUACUUUAGUCAAUGAUCCGGACCAUUGUAUCCGGACGGCAUAUGUUUGAUCAUCCGGAUGCAUUGUGUAAAUCGUCCGGAUGAUAUGCUUAUAAGUGCCGUUUGAUCUUCCUUGAGGCAGUCCGGAUAUAAAAAGUGCGCCAUGUGCGCUUUACAGGAAGGUCCGGACGAGCGUGACCCGGGUGACAAUGCGUGCCAUGUGUCACUGUAGGAUGCGUGCCACGUGUUCUCGGAGGGAGGGGUCCCUACAACAUCAACAAUUUCCAUUGCUGUUUUGAAACUCUUUAGCCCCAACAUCACCACCAUGAAUGACCAACCUAUUGCAUUCUAUUAAACCAAGAAUACUUUACAAGACUAUAAAAUUCUCAUUUGGUGCCUUGGCAGCCAUCACCCAUUUAUGCACACUAUUAGAACGGUGUGGAACUGUUACGCCCAUGACAUCUCUAGAAUGAUUGAGACGUUGUAAAAUUUUAUCCAUUAUUCCCAGAACUUUCACCCAACUCUAGAGGAAGGUAGAGAUCAGUGGACUCCUUUGGAAGAAUGAACAACUUGACUUCAUGUUUACAAAGUUCUACUCUGCUGUAAGUGCUCAAAUCAUGGAUUAUUUAAGAAAAACACGACACAUUGAGGAAAAAAACUGUAGAUUUAUCGAAAUCCCACCCUUUUAAGUAUUGAAAGCAGAUGUUCAAGGGGAAUUAAUACGAAGAUGUUUGAAGAAGAUGAAAUUUGGGGAAGCGGCUUAAAUAAAAUUCUAAAAACAAAAAACUAAGAAUAUUAUUAAAUUCAGCAUCACUUAAUCUAAUGCUAGAGCCAGUUCAAUACUAGAAGUUUCACUCCCAAUACACCGUUUCACAAAAUAGUAGCAUUUAAUUUGCUCCAGGUCAUUCUUGUAGAAAAUCUCCUCCAAUUAGUGUUUGCUAGAAAGGCUUUCAGCCUCAAUAAAGGCCCAUUAUACUUUGUGACAUACUGGCAAAUGGAAAAAGGAGACAAUAGCAGCACAGUUGGAUGGUUUCCAAAUGGAAAUUCACAGAAGGAAGUCCAUACUCCAUAGCAAGCAACAAUACCAGGUUUAUAAUUCAAAAAUCUUGAUUAUAAUUGAAGGCCCCUCCACACAAGAACCACAAUUUAUUUUAAUUCUGUUGUACGUCAAAUGCUCUAAAUUUAAACCAGGACACAACCUUCCAUGACUGUAACGGCUUUUCCUCGCAACAGCACCCUCUGGUUUUGUUCAUCUAAAUGAAUAUCCACUCUUCCACUUCUAGGAGAUGCCUGAACAAAGUAAACAUUAUAGUAUAAUCAAUAUGAUGAAGACCAUAAUGACGAUGAUGAUAACAAUGAUGAUGAUCGGGGGAAGAUUACCGCAUAUGCAAGUAAAUCGCAUUUCCCCAACUUUUGGCUCCAAUAAGGUGCUAAGCUACAAUGUGCACUCCCACAAACAGGAUCCUGAGAGAUAAAAGAUAUUGAGCACAAAGGAAUAUAUGGAGGUAUGCAGAAAUUGUAAUGAAAAGGAAUGGGCCGAUGCUGGGGGGAAUUUUCUCCAGCUGAAAAACACUCUCAUGUGUUCUAAUUUAGCAUGUCCAAUCUGGUCUGCAUACUUUGAAGAAGCAUAUAUAUAAAUUUUCAAAACAAGCUAGAUGUUCGAUGUGAGAAGUUGUUUGAUGCUGCAAAGAAAAACAUUAUAAUGGUUUGAGACCAAGUGACAACUUAUUACCUCCUUGAUCCCCAAUUUGGGACAGAAGAAGCGACUGAAGAAGUCAAAUUCAGAUUCUGGAGGAGCAAGCCCUGUUAUAAUUAACCCCCUCCCUGGAAGUUUUUGUAUAUCAUCAAACUGUGGUUCUAUAUCCACAACGGUCUUCCCAGAUGGUAGCACGACCUGAACCAACACAACACAACUAGCUGUGAAGAAGUUGUCUUUCUCUACCAUAUGAAUUAUAUGGACAAAAAAGUGAAGAAGCAAAGGGCUAAAGGAUUCGAGAAAAUACAAAGAGGUCAUCUCCCUCAGUCUUCUUUAUAUCAAUCACUGAAGCACCAUUCAAGGCUUUGGAUAUUGAUGCAACCUCAGCAGAGUUAUAUUCGACCAUUGGGACAAUCGGGAAAUCUAAUUCGACAGAGAAGUGUUCUUGUGCUUCUCCAUUCUCAUACUUCAAGGCAUCUGAUUUGUUGCCUUGCAUGACUUUUCUGGCAGUUAAAACUCCAGACAGUGUGAUGAACUCUAUCAUAUUUCCCUUCAUCAAGCUGGAAGUGAAGAGAAAGUGUGCUGCUGCUAAGGUAGCAUGGCCACAGAGAUUCACCUGCAAACAAGCGUAGCAUAGACUUAACACAAGGAAGACAUAGCUAGCUGUCAAUUGAAACACAGACACAAGCACUAAUUGGUAAAAUAUGUAUUAGAUUUAUAACGACCUACUCCCAACCAUUAGAUAUGUCUUCCUUGGGCCAAAAGGGUUCUCAAGAUUUUGAAACGCGUCUAAUCUACAUGAUUAAGAGGAACCCAUAAAUAUUCAAGUACUUUUCUCCUUCCCCUAUCUAAUGUGAUAUGUUAAACAAACUCUCAUUUGUAAUGAUCUAUUCCUAUUUGUGUAGAUAUUGUCUGUUUUGCACUAAAGAGGCUCUCAUUUAUAUAUAUAGUGACAGGAACUUUUUUCGGCUAUCCAAGAUAUCAUAAGAUUAGUAUAGUUUAGAUAUCAAAACCUGCAAACCCAGUCAAUGAAGGUUGUAAACAAACACCACAAUAAGGGAUUAAGCUUAAUUAUUAUUUUUCUCUUCAGUUUGGGAAAUGGGGAAGAAGAUUGAAAUACAGCACAAGAAUGUUCUUUUCCUUCAUAUCUAUAUUCAAAUUUGGUAUUUGUGGUUCUCAGAAUUUCUCAAUCGGGGCAUACUUUUUCUUGAAACUAGUACAACCCAAUUGAAGCAAGCAUUGGAUUAAGUCAUCCAAUAAUUCCUGAAAUUAAACUUCAAAGUCAUAAACAAAAGCAAGAAACGGAUUGGGUAGCUGAGAAAAUGGGACGAAAAAAUAAAAUAAAAAUCAAACUUAUCUUAUCAGUGCUUUUUCUUUCAGAGGACUAAUUCCCACCUUUUCUCAACAACCAAACAUAGCAUAUGAUAAAAAUUGUAGAAAUGAACUCACCUCGGUAGUGGGAGUGAACCAUCUGAGCCGAAACCUAGGAGUUAAAAUUGUAGUGGACGAGUCAAGAGCCUCUGGCUCAGUGAUCCGAUUCAAGUAACAAGUUUCAGAGAUAUUGAACUCCAUAGCCAGGGCCUGCAACCAAUCCUCAUCUCUCUCUUCCUCCAACAAGCAAACUGCAGCUGGGUUUCCCUUGAACGCUGAAUCAGUGAAUGCAUCUACCUGUCUCACAAUUCUCAACCAUAGUCAAAUAUAUAGGAUGUACCCACAUCUACAUAUAGAAAAAGAGGGAGAUGCGACACUUACCACUGUGAAUUUGACUGGUUUUUUCGCCAUGAAAGAAAGUUCAGCUGGAAUGGUGUUUUCUGUUAUCUCUGUAUGGUAAGGUGGGGAUGAGAAACUCAACUCUUAAAAGGCGGCUUCUCUUCCGACGACUCUUUUGAGCUGUUUUGCGGUUGGUGGAUUAUGGAAAUAAAAAAUUAUUAAUUACAAGUUUUUUUUAGAUUCCCUUUUUCACAACAGAGAAAGAUAAGAUCCAACUGUUUUAGAAAAGGGUUUUUAAGAAUAAUAUAUUAUUAUAUUUGAUAUUUAAAUGUAUUUAAUAUAUUUAAUAAAUAAAAUUAAAUAAUUAUAUUAUAUGAUUAAAUCAUAUUAACUCAUUUAAUAAUACUUAAAAUUAAAUUCAAAGUAAUAAAUAAAAGAAAUAAUAAAUUUGUUUAGAAAAAAAAAAUUAAGGAUAUAUUUGUUAACUAUUUUUGAAAUUCUAUUUUUUAAAAUAAAAAUUUAGGAAGACACGUUUGAUAAUUUAAAACUAUUUUCUAUUUUUACUUUCAAAAAUAGAAAAUAUUAUACUUUCAGAUAACAUUUUUCAGUUGUUUUAUAUUAUUUUUACCUAUUUUUAAAAAAAUUAUUUUAAAAAUUAAUUAUUCAAUCAAGUAAAAUGAUUAAAAAUAGGUUAAAAAUACUUAAAUUUUUAAAUGAACUUUUAUUCUAUAAAACAUUAAAUAAUAAUUUUAAAAAAUUACUUUAAAAAAAUCAUUUUUAAAACUAUUUUCUAAAACAGUUAUUAAACAAAUCUUAAGUAUAUUUAUUUUUUAAUUUUGAUGUAUGUAUCUUACAUUUUAAUUUUCAAUGUUCAAAAUUUAAUAUUUUGUCCUUAAUUGUUAAAAAAAUCCAUGAUCAAUUUAUUAAGUAAAUAAAUAAGGUUAAAAUACAAAAAAAAAAAAAUUGAUUAAAUUUGAAGCCCACACGCUUUACAGUUGCAUACGAAAAUCUAUAAAAUAAAAAUAAAUAAAUAAAUAAGUGAAACUCCACAGCCCUGGCCUGCAAUCAUUCCUGAUCUCUCUUCCUCUAACAAGCAGACUGCAGCUGGGUUUCCCUUGAACGCUGUCUCUGUGAAUGCAUUUAGCACACUGAAUUUGACUGGUUUUUUCGCCAUUGAAGUGGGGUUGUGGUUGAGUUCACUGGUUAUGGUUUCUCUUUGUCUCAGCCUCUGAGAAAGGUGGAGAUGAGACCAUCAAAAUAUAAGCUGGUUUUGGUCGGUGAAAUAAAAGUAGUAACUGAUACUUCUUGUACAAUACUACCAUCAAUGACAUGACAAUUAUACUUUUCAUACCAUAAUUAGAAUCUUCGCGUGCCAAGGUUAGGUUCAAACAUUUUCCUUUAAAGCCUUUGUGUUAUUCACCUCUUUCUAUUUAAGUAUUAUCUGCAUAUGUGAUUUUUGUGGGGACUCCCCUCCACGUGUCACUCCCCUCAGUACUGCCCGGAUAGCUGCCACAUCAUCCGAAGCCUUCUAUCCGGACCACACAGGCAUGCAGCAAAUGACACUAGACUCCCUAAGUGGGCAACGUCUUCCAACCAGCCUUCAAGCCCCCUUGCUACGUGUAAUCAUUUCCAUCUCACAUGGAGGUGACUGAUGAGAUAUUCCCCAGUCCUUACAUUCAUGUCAAUGGAUUAUCACACACCGUCUCAUACCUCCAGCAAGUUGAAGUGACAGACAACUGCAUCAUGACACAACUUUCGACGGCACCUGCUAGCCGCCUAAAACUGUAAUGAUUGUCCUAUCACCUGCAAGACAGCCAUCAUUAUGGAGAAAGUCAAAGUGUCUAUUCGGCACUACAAUAGCUUUCUCCUAAGCACUAGAAAAAGUCCUCCUGAAGCAUAAUCCAGGUACGCGCGUUUAAGCUGAUCUAUUCAUUCUCUCCUUGAAAGGGUCUGAUCUACCUAACUUAAGCUUCGGAGGGGUGUGCCUGGACCACCUAUUCAGACAUCCUUUGUGCAAAGAAGAAGCUUGCCCAGUUCCCUGUCACUAGGCAUAAGCUCUGAGACGCACAACGUAAGGAGUAUCUGACCUCAGUUGACCUCGCAUAACAAUUUCCAUUGCUAUUUUGAAACUCUUUAGCCCCAACAUCACCACCGUGAAUGACCAACCUGUUGCAUUCUAUUAAACCAAGAAUACUUUACAAGACUAUAAAAUUCUCAUUUGGUGCCUUGGCAGCCAUCACCCAUUUAUGCACACUAUUAGAACGGUGUGGAACUGUUACGCCCAUGACAUCUCUAGAAUGAUUGAGACGUAGUAAAAUUUUAUCCAUUAUUCCCAGAACUUUCACCCAACUCUAGAGGAAGGUAGAGAUCAGUGGACUCCUUUGGAAGAAUGAACAACUUGACUUCAUGUUUACAAAGUUCUACUCUGCUGUAAGUGCUCAAAUCAUGGAUUAUUUAAGAAAAACACGACACAUUGAGGAAAAAAAAUGUAGAUUUAUCGAAAUCCCACCCUUUUAAGUAUUGAAAGCAGAUGUUCAAGGGGAAUUAAUACGAAGAUGUUUGAAGAAGAUGAAAUUUGGGGAAGCCUGAAUUUUACAGGCUUAAAUAAAAUUCUAAAAACAAAAAACUAAGAAUAUUAUUAAAUUCAGCAUCACUUAAUCUAAUGCUAGAGCCAGUUCAAUACUAGAAGUUUCACUCCCAAUACACCGUUUCACAAAAUAGUAGCAUUUAAUUUGCUCCAGGUCAUUCUUGUAGAAAAUCUCCUCCAAUUAGUGUUUGCUAGAAAGGCUUUCAGCCUCAAUAAAGGCCCAUUAUACUUUGUGACAUACUGGCAAAUGGAAAAAGGAGACAAUAGCAGCACAGUUGGAUGGUUUCCAAAUCCAAAUUCACAGAAGGAAGUCCAUACUCCACAGCAAGCAACAAUACCAGGUUUAUAAUUCAAAAUUCUUGAUUAUAAUUGAAGGCUCCUCCACACAAGAACCACAAUUUAUUUUAAUUCUGUUGUACGUCAAAAGAUGAAACUUGCUCUAAACUUAAACCAGGACACAACCUUCCAUGACUGUAACGGCUUUUCCUCGCAACAGCACCCUCUGGUUUUGUUCAUCUAAAUGAAUAUCCACUAUUCCACUUCUAGGAGAUGCCUGAACAAAGUAAACAUUACAGCAUAAAAAAUACGAUGAGGACCAUAAUGACGAUGAUGAUAACAAUGAUGAUGAUCGGGGGAGAUUACCGGAUAUGCAAGUAAAUCACAUUUCCCCAACUUUUGGCUCCAAUAGGGUGCUAAGCUACAAUGUGCACUCCCACAAACAGGAUCCUGAGAGAUAAAAGAUAUUGAGCACAAAGGAAUAUAUGGAGGCAUGCAGAAAUUGUAAUGAAAAAGGAAUGGGCCGAUGCUGGGGGGAAUUUUCUCCAGCUGAAAAACACUCUCAUGUGUUCUAAUUUAGCAUGUCCAAUCUGGUCUGCAUACUUUGAAGAAGCAUAUAUAUAAAUUUUCAAAACAAGCUAGAUGUUUGAUGUGAGAAGUUGUUUGAUGCUGCAAAGAAAAACAUUAUAAUGGUUUGCGACCAAGUGACAACUUAUUACCUCCUUGAUCCCCAAUUUGGGACAGAAAAAGCGACUGAAGAAGUCAAAUUCAGAUUCUGGAGGAGCAAGCCCUGUUAUAAUUAACCCCCUCCCUGGAAGUUUUUGUAUAUCAUCAAACUGUGGUUCUAUAUCCACAACAGUCUUCCCAGAUGGUAGCACGACCUGAACCAACACAACACAACUAGCUGUGAAGAAGUUGUCUUUCUUUACCAUAUGAAUUAUAUGGACAAAAAAGUGAAGAAGCAGAAGCAAAGGGCUAAAGGAUUCGAGAAAAUACAAAGAGGUCAUCUUUCUCAGUCUUCUUUAUAUCAAUCACUGAAGCACCAUUCAAGGCUUUGGAUAUUGAUGCAACCUCAGCAGAGUUAUAUUCGACCAUUGGGACAAUCGGGAAAUCUAAUUCGACAGAGAAGUGUUCUUGUGCUUCUCCAUUCUCAUACUUCAAGGCAUCUGAGUUGUUGCCUUGCAUGACUUUUCUGGCAGUUAAAACUCCAGACAGUGUGAUGAACUCUAUCAUAUUUCCCUUCAUCAAGCUGGAAGUGAAGAGAAGGUGUGCUGCUGCUAAGGUAGCAUGGCCACAGAGUUUCACCUGCAAACAAGCAUAGACUUAGCACAAGAGAGACAUACCUAGCCGUCAGUUCAUUGAAAGAAACACAAACACAAGCACGAAUUGGUCAAAUAUGUAUUAAAUUUAUAAUCACCCACUGCCAACCAUAUAGGUAUGUCCUCUUUGGGCCCAAAAGGUUCUCACGGUUUUAAAACACAUCUAAUUUACAUGAUUAAGAGGAGUUAUAUAUAUAGUGUCAAGAACUUUUUCCCCUUUUCCUACCUAAUGUGAUAUCCCCUGUGGGGUUAAACAAACCCUCACACCAGGAUUGGAAUUGAAUUUAAUACCAUUAUCCACUCCUAAUUGUGUAGAAAUUGUCUAAGAGACUCUCACGACUUUAAAAUGUGUUUACAUGGUUAAGAAAAGUUCAUACAUAUAUAACGACAGGAACUUUUUCAACAAUUGGAGAUAUCAUAAGAUUAGUAUAGUUUACUCAUCAAAAACUGCAAACCCAGUCAAUGAAGGUUGUAAACAAUCACCACAAUAAGGGAUUAGGCUUGAUUAUUAUUUUUUUCUUUGGUUUGGGAAAUAGGGAAGAAGGUUGAAAUACAGCACAAGAAUGUUCUUUUCAAGAAUCUGUUACUCCUUAAAGACAUCCACUUUUCUGGGGAACAAAAUGGAAGUCCUUUCUUGCAUAUCUAUAUUCAAAUUUGGUAAUUGUGAUUCUCAGAAUUUCUCAUUUGGGGCAUAAUUUUUCUUGAAACUAGUACAACCCAAUUGAAGCAAGCAUUGGAUUAAGUCAUCCAAUAAUCCCUGAAAUUGAACUUUAAGUAAUAAACAAAGGCAAACAAUAGAUUUGGUAGCUGAGAAAAUAGUGCAAAGAUGAAAAAUAAACUUAUGUUAUCAGUUGUAACGACCCGCACUAAAUCAUGUAGAUAUUAUCCGCUUUGGACCCAAAGGGGUCCUCACGGCUUUAAAACACGUCUACUUGGUUAAGAGGAACCUAUACAUAUAUAGCGCCAGAAACUUUCUCCCCUAUCCGAUGUGGGACAUCACAAACACCCCUCAUGCAAACACAACAUCCUCGUUGUGUCCCAUGAGAUUGCGGGGUCAAUCAGACAAAGCCAAACAAACCCCCACACCGGGGUCGGGGAUCAGCUCUGAUACCAUUUAUAACGACCCACACCCAAUCAUGUAGAUAUUAUCCGCUUUGGACCCAAAAGGGUACUCACGGCUUUAAAACGCGUCUACUUAGUUAAGAAGAACCUCUAGUCAGGAACUUUCUUCCCUAUCCGACGUGGGACAUCGUGGUUUUUUUUUUUUUUUCCUCAGAGAACUGAUUUCCACCUUUUCUGGACAACCAAACAUAACAUAUGAUAAAAAUGGUAGAAAUGAACUCACCUCAGCAACAGGAGUGAACCAUCUGAGCCGAAACCUAGGAGUUAAAAUUGUAGUGGACGAGUCAAGAGCCUCUGGCUUAGUGAUCCGAGUCAAGUAACCAGUUUGAGAGACAUUGAACUCCAUAGCCAGGGCCUGCAACCAAUCCUCAUCUCUCUCUUCCUCCAACAAGCAAACUGCAGCAGGGUUUCCCUUGAACGCUGAAUCAGUGAAUGCAUCAACCUGUCCCACAAUUCUCAACCAUAUUCAAAUAUAUAG